rnacentral:rRNA from 1 species
UAGGGAAUCUUCCACAAUGGACGAAAGCCUGAUGGAGCAACACCGCGUGAGUGAAGAAGGGUUUCGGCUCGUAAAGCUCUGUUGUUAAAGAAGAACACGUAUGAGAGUAACUGUUCAGGUAUUGACGGUAUUUAACCAGAAAGCCACGGCUAACUACGUGCCAA